rnacentral:rRNA from 1 species
UACGUAGGGUGCAAGCGUUGUCCGGAAUUAUUGGGCGUAAAGAGCUCGUAGGCGGUCUGUCGCGUCGGCUGUGAAAACCCGGGGCUCAACCCCGGGCCUGCAGUCGAUACGGGCAGACUAGAGUGCGGUAGGGGAGACUGGAAUUCCUGGUGUAGCGGUGAAAUGCGCAGAUAUCAGGAGGAACACCGGUGGCGAAGGCGGGUCUCUGGGCCGUAACUGACGCUGAGGAGCGAAGGCCAGGGGAGCAAACGGG